rnacentral:rRNA from 1 species
AUGGCUCGCGCGCAUGGCGCCUUCUUGCUGCAGCUACUGGACUUGCGCACCACCGAGGUCGCCGCCGAGCUCAGGUACCAGGAGGUGGGCACGGAGGCCAUCGACGCGCUCGUAGAGCCGGUCGGGCAUCCCCAGCCCCUCGUCGGCGGCCACGAAGGGCAUGCCGUCGUACUCCACCACCGCGCCCACCCGCUCGAAGCAGUGCCGCCACACGUUGCCGUUCUUGACGCGACCGCGGCCAGGGCGCGCGCCGGUGCGGGCAGGGCGCGGGGCACUCGGUGCAGCGGCAGCAACCAGGCAGAGCAGCAGAGCUGCAGCGACAACGAUAGGGAAGCAGGGGAGGAGUUCGGCAGCGGCGUACUUGGCCUCCGCCGCAGGGCUUCGGCGAGGCAGCCGCGUACUUGGCCUCCGCCGCCAGGAAUGGACGCGCUUGAGCUCGUCUUCGAUGCCGCCAGGUCCCGCGCCUCUUCUGCAUCAGACACGGACGGAAUUGUAUUAACAAGGGAAGCUUCAAGUUCAAGAUUCCGAAAACAGCAAUAUGCUAAGAGAAAGAUGUACUCAGUACUACUCCAUGUUAUAGAGAAUCACUGA